UUUGAAAGGAUACAGCUAGUUACAUAAAAGCACCAUAAAGCUGCGCCACCAACGCUUAUUUGUGAAUACUGACACCUUUUUACCCCAAAAAUGUGAGAAGUCCUUCUGUGGCUCUGCGAGUUCUCCUUGACCCAGUUCGGCUUGAGAGGGAAAACAGCGACGGUCGGUCGGAUGAAUGCUGCCUAUUGAGACUGAAACAGAGAGAUGUCGACCAACAACGAAAAAUGUUAUUA